rnacentral:rRNA from 1 species
CCGAAUGGGGAAACCCAGUGUGACUCGUCACACUAUCAUUAACUGAAUCCAUAGGUUAAUGAGGCGAACCGGGGGAACUGAAACAUCUAAGUACCCCGAGGAAAAGAAAUCAACCGAGAUUCCCCCAGUAGCGGCGAGCGAACGGGGAGGAGCCCAGAGCCUGAAUCAGCAUGUGUGUUAGUGGAAGCGUCUGGAAAGGCGCGCGAUACAGGGUGACAGCCCCGUACACAAAAGCGCAUGUGCUGUGAGCUCGAUGAGUAGGGCGGGACACGUGGUAUCCUGUCUGAAUAUGGGGGGACCAUCCUCCAAGGCUAAAUACUCCUGACUGACCGAUAGUGAACCAGUACCGUGAGGGAAAGGCGAAAAGAACCCCGGCGAGGGGAGUGAAAAAGAACCUGAAACCGUGUACGUACAAGCAGUGGGAGCACCCUUUGGGGUGUGACUGCGUACCUUUUGUAUAAUGGGUCAGCGACUUAUAUUCUGUAGCAAGGUUAACCGAAUAGGGGAGCCGGAGGGAAACCGAGUCUUAAUUGGGCGUUAAGUUGCAGGGUAUAGACCCGAAACCCGGUGAUCUAGCCAUGGGCAGGUUGAAGGUUGGGUAACACUAACUGGAGGACCGAACCGACUAAUGUUGAAAAAUUAGCGGAUGACCUGUGGCUGGGGGUGAAAGGCCAAUCAAACCGGGAGAUAGCUGGUUCUCCCCGAAAGCUAUUUAGGUAGCGCCUCGUGAAUUCAUCUCCGGGGGUAGAGCACUGUUUCGGCUAGGGGGCCAUCCCGGCUUACCAACCCGAUGCAAACUGCGAAUACCGGAGAAUGUUAUCACGGGAGACACACGGCGGGUGCUAACGUCCGUCGUGAAGAGGGAAACAACCCAGACCGCCAGCUAAGGUCCCAAAGUCAUGGUUAAGUGGGAAACGAUGUGGGAAGGCCCAGACAGCCAGGAUGUUGGCUUAGAAGCAGCCAUCAUUUAAAGAAAGCGUAAUAGCUCACUGGUCGAGUCGGCCUGCGCGGAAGAUGUAACGGGGCUAAACCAUGCACCGAAGCUGCGGCAGCGACACUCAGGUGUUGUUGGGUAGGGGAGCGUUCUGUAAGCCUGCGAAGGUGGCCUGUGAGGGUUGCUGGAGGUAUCAGAAGUGCGAAUGCUGACAUAAGUAACGAUAAAGCGGGUGAAAAGCCCGCUCGCCGGAAGACCAAGGGUUCCUGUCCAACGUUAAUCGGGGCAGGGUGAGUCGACCCCUAAGGCGAGGCCGAAAGGCGUAGUCGAUGGGAAACGGGUUAAUAUUCCCGUACUUGGUGUUACUGCGAAGGGGGGACGGAGAAGGCUAUGUUGGCCGGGCGACGGUUGUCCCGGUUUAAGCGUGUAGGUGUGUGUUCCAGGUAAAUCCGGUUCACUUUAACACUGAGGCGUGACGACGAGGCACUACGGUGCUGAAGCAACAAAUGCCCUGCUUCCAGGAAAAGCCUCUAAGCAUCAGGUAACAUCAAAUCGUACCCCAAACCGACACAGGUGGUCAGGUAGAGAAUACCAAGGCGCUUGAGAGAACUCGGGUGAAGGAACUAGGCAAAAUGGUGCCGUAACUUCGGGAGAAGGCACGCUGACACGUAGGUGAAGUGAUUUACUCACGGAGCUGAAGUCAGUCGAAGAUACCAGCUGGCUGCAACUGUUUAUUAAAAACACAGCACUGUGCAAACACGAAAGUGGACGUAUACGGUGUGACGCCUGCCCGGUGCCGGAAGGUUAAUUGAUGGGGUCAGCGCAAGCGAAGCUCCUGAUCGAAGCCCCGGUAAACGGCGGCCGUAACUAUAACGGUCCUAAGGUAGCGAAAUUCCUUGUCGGGUAAGUUCCGACCUGCACGAAUGGCGUAAUGAUGGCCAGGCUGUCUCCACCCGAGACUCAGUGAAAUUGAACUCGCUGUGAAGAUGCAGUGUACCCGCGGCAAGACGGAAAGACCCCGUGAACCUUUACUAUAGCUUGACACUGAACAUUGAGCCUUGAUGUGUAGGAUAGGUGGGAGGCUUUGAAGUGUGGACGCCAGUCUGCAUGGAGCCGACCUUGAAAUACCACCCUUUAAUGUUUGAUGUUCUAACGUGGACCCGUGAUCCGGGUUGCGGACAGUGUCUGGUGGGUAGUUUGACUGGGGCGGUCUCCUCCUAAAGAGUAACGGAGGAGCACGAAGGUUGGCUAAUCCUGGUCGGACAUCAGGAGGUUAGUGCAAUGGCAUAAGCCAGCUUGACUGCGAGCGUGACGGCGCGAGCAGGUGCGAAAGCAGGUCAUAGUGAUCCGGUGGUUCUGAAUGGAAGGGCCAUCGCUCAACGGAUAAAAGGUACUCCGGGGAUAACAGGCUGAUACCGCCCAAGAGUUCAUAUCGACGGCGGUGUUUGGCACCUCGAUGUCGGCUCAUCACAUCCUGGGGCUGAAGUAGGUCCCAAGGGUAUGGCUGUUCGCCAUUUAAAGUGGUACGCGAGCUGGGUUUAGAACGUCGUGAGACAGUUCGGUCCCUAUCUGCCGUGGGCGCUGGAGAACUGAGGGGGGCUGCUCCUAGUACGAGAGGACCGGAGUGGACGCAUCACUGGUGUUCGGGUUGUCAUGCCAAUGGCACUGCCCGGUAGCUAAAUGCGGAAGAGAUAAGUGCUGAAAGCAUCUAAGCACGAAACUUGCCCCGAGAUGAGUUCUCCCUGAGACUU